AAAGACCGUAGUUUUACACUGUUUAUAUCUAAUAUUUAACUGUCCGUCUUAUUUAAUUUUUUAUCACUAGUAUUUUUAUUGUUAUUAUUAGAUGAUAAAAUAUGAAUAGUGUUUUAUGUGUAACUAAUUUUUUUAUAUUUUUUAAUAAGAUAAAUGGUUAAAUGUUGAAUAUAAAAAUCUACAACCGCGCUUAAA
rnacentral:pre_miRNA from 1 species